rnacentral:tRNA from 1 species
CAGAAAAUAGUAUAUAAUUUAGUAUAUAAAUUUUGGGGAUUUAAGGAGAAGUUCUUUUCUGA